AAUAACUUUAUUUUUUGUUUUUCCGUAUCCAACGUUUGACCAUUCGUCUUAUUUGAAAAAUUUGUAUAAAAAAUUAAAAAAAUUAGUCACGCAUAAAGUACUAUUCAUGUUUUAUCAUCUAGUAAGAAUAAAAAUAUUAGUUGCAAAAAAAUUUCAAAUAAGACGAAGAGUCAAAAUAUUGUAUCAAAAAACUGAAAAUGAUCUUAUU
rfam:Oryza brachyantha chromosome 4, whole genome shotgun sequence.